rnacentral:lncRNA from 1 species
GUAAAGAGGUUGGGUCUUAGUCUUAGACUAAAAUAGGAAAUUUUAUUGAAGCAAAUGCUUUGCAGGAACAUAUAUAGGGCUGAGUAACUUGGUACAAAGAAUGCAAAAAAAUUGAUUGCUUAUAUCAUAAUAGAACUAUUGUGCUUGGUAAGUAGGAUAAACCAUGAGGGCAAAGCCUUACUUGUACUAAUUGUUAACUAAAACAAAAUGAAGUCCAUUUGGAUAAACUAAUGAAUCAAAAGUAAACAUCAACCCCCACCCCACGAGCAUAAAUCCUAUUAUUAUUAUUACUUAUUAUAGUUUACAAUCAAUCAUAGUGGUCCUAGCAGAAAAGUAGUUGUCGUAUCUGAAAAUGAGACUGAAUAGAACUCUUCCCAGAUGGAAGAAAUUGAAUUGUAAUACCAGGGACCAUCUAUCCAAUAAUCUUAUAAAAUUGUGCAUUACAACAUAUGAAAGACAAAUUGUGUUGUAUAUUUUACUUUUAAACUUAGCAUAAAUACUUUAAAUUAAAUCUUAAUUUUGUUUUAUUUUCUUUUUUCACAGGUAUAAAAGGGGAGAAUUGGAUCAAAAUCGAUUGCAAGCUAUGUGUCACC